rnacentral:misc_RNA from 1 species
UGUAGGAGUGAGCCUGCUCGCGAUAGCGGUGUAUCAGUUAACGAAAAUGCCGACUGAUACACCGCUAUCGCGAGCAGGCUCACUCCUACA